rnacentral:rRNA from 1 species
UACGGGGGGGGUAAGCGUUGUUCGGAAUUACUGGGCGUAAAGGGCUCGUAGGCGGCCAACUAAGUCAUCCGUGAAAUCCCUCAGCUUAACUGGGGAACUGCGUGUGAUACUGGAUGGCUUGGAUUUGGGAGAGGGAUGCGGAAUUCCAGGUGUAGCGGUGAAAUGCGUAGAUAUCGAGAGGAACACCUGCGGCGAAGGCGGGUUGCUGGGCUGACACUGACGCUGAAGCGCGAAAGCUAGGGGAGCGAACGGG